AAGAAACUCGGACAACGGAGAACCUGAAACGAGGUGAUUCAUGAAACAAGAUUAUUGACUCGCGCUCUAAGCAGUCCUAAGCUGACCUUGAGCGGUGCAACUUUUACGCAAGUUAAAAUUAAAUGUUUCUUUCAUGUCGUAACGAAAUGCAAAGUUGGAACAUUAAGAAGUCAUGCCACUCGUUCAUAUGAUACUGUUUAGUUUGAUUUUCCACUGUUGUUCCCCGUACUACAUACCACAAAGACCUGAACCUCCACCGCCACCGUAUCAGCCCAUACCUUUUAAUACAUUGCAUGCUAUGUAUUUCGAUGCUACUAGGCAAGCCUACAUUCAACAUGCAUUUGCUGUAAUGAAAGUGAUGAGGGCCGAAUGGAUCAAAGCUCUGGAGAAAGUCAUCACUUUACCUUUCGCAGCUUUCAAGCUUCUGUGACAAAUGAUGCCAUUGCUUAGACAUAAUUGAGGACGAGAAAGACGCAUCAAUAAUAUUUCAUUACAUAUCAUGAACUCUGGACUAAACAGUAUGAAUUUCAUCAUGAAAUAUAUCCUGAAAUAUGUUUGUAACUUAGUACCGAUAAUAAUGUGCAGUAUAAAUGUGUAUUAUAUGUA